rnacentral:rRNA from 1 species
UGUGUGUUAGUGGAAGCGUCUGGAAAGGCGCGCGAUACAGGGUGACAGCCCCGUACACAAAAAUGCACAUGCUGUGAGCUCGAUGAGUAGGGCGGGACACGUGGUAUCCUGUCUGAAUAUGGGGGGACCAUCCUCCAAGGCUAAAUACUCCUGACUGACCGAUAGUGAACCAGUACCGUGAGGGAAAGGCGAAAAGAACCCCGGCGAGGGGAGUGAAAAAGAACCUGAAACCGUGUACGUACAAGCAGUGGGAGCACGCUUAGGCGUGUGACUGCGUACCUUUUGUAUAAUGGGUCAGCGACUUAUAUUCUGUAGCAAGGUUAACCGAAUAGGGGAGCCGAAGGGAAACCGAGUCUUAACUGGGCGUUAAGUUGCAGGGUAUAGACCCGAAACCCGGUGAUCUAGCCAUGGGCAGGUUGAAGGUUGGGUAACACUAACUGGAGGACCGAACCGACUAAUGUUGAAAAAUUAGCGGAUGACUUGUGGCUGGGGGUGAAAGGCCAAUCAAACCGGGAGAUAGCUGGUUCUCCCCGAAAGCUAUUUAGGUAGCGCCUCGUGAAUUCAUCUCCGGGGGUAGAGCACUGUUUCGGCAAGGGGGUCAUCCCGACUUACCAACCCGAUGCAAACUGCGAAUACCGGAGAAUGUUAUCACGGGAGACACACGGCGGGUGCUAACGUCCGUCGUGAAGAGGGAAACAACCCAGACCGCCAGCUAAGGUCCCAAAGUCAUGGUUAAGUGGGAAACGAUGUGGGAAGGCCCAGACAGCCAGGAUGUUGGCUUAGAAGCAGCCAUCAUUUAAAGAAAGCGUAAUAGCUCACUGGUCGAGUCGGCCUGCGCGGAAGAUGUAACGGGGCUAAACCAUGCACCGAAGCUGCGGCAGCGACACUAUGUGUUGUUGGGUAGGGGAGCGUUCUGUAAGCCUGUGAAGGUGUACUGUGAGGUAUGCUGGAGGUAUCAGAAGUGCGAAUGCUGACAUAAGUAACGAUAAAGCGGGUGAAAAGCCCGCUCGCCGGAAGACCAAGGGUUCCUGUCCAACGUUAAUCGGGGCAGGGUGAGUCGACCCCUAAGGCGAGGCCGAAAGGCGUAGUCGAUGGGAAACAGGUUAAUAUUCCUGUACUUGGUGUUACUGCGAAGGGGGGACGGAGAAGGCUAUGUUGGCCGGGCGACGGUUGUCCCGGUUUAAGCGUGUAGGCUGGUUUUCCAGGCAAAUCCGGAAAAUCAAGGCUGAGGCGUGAUGACGAGGCACUACGGUGCUGAAGCAACAAAUGCCCUGCUUCCAGGAAAAGCCUCUAAGCAUCAGGUAACAUCAAAUCGUACCCCAAACCGACACAGGUGGUCAGGUAGAGAAUACCAAGGCGCUUGAGAGAACUCGGGUGAAGGAACUAGGCAAAAUGGUGCCGUAACUUCGGGAGAAGGCACGCUGAUAUGUAGGUGAAGUCCCUCGCGGAUGGAGCUGAAAUCAGUCGAAGAUACCAGCUGGCUGCAACUGUUUAUUAAAAACACAGCACUGUGCAAACACGAAAGUGGACGUAUACGGUGUGACGCCUGCCCGGUGCCGGAAGGUUAAUUGAUGGGGUCAGCGCAAGCGAAGCUCUUGAUCGAAGCCCCGGUAAACGGCGGCCGUAACUAUAACGGUCCUAAGGUAGCGAAAUUCCUUGUCGGGUAAGUUCCGACCUGCACGAAUGGCGUAAUGAUGGCCAGGCUGUCUCCACCCGAGACUCAGUGAAAUUGAACUCGCUGUGAAGAUGCAGUGUACCCGCGGCAAGACGGAAAGACCCCGUGAACCUUUACUAUAGCUUGACACUGAACAUUGAGCCUUGAUGUGUAGGAUAGGUGGGAGGCUUUGAAGUGUGGACGCCAGUCUGCAUGGAGCCGACCUUGAAAUACCACCCUUUAAUGUUUGAUGUUCUAACGUGGACCCGUAAUCCGGGUUGCGGACAGUGUCUGGUGGGUAGUUUGACUGGGGCGGUCUCCUCCUAAAGAGUAACGGAGGAGCACGAAGGUUGGCUAAUCCUGGUCGGACAUCAGGAGGUUAGUGCAAUGGCAUAAGCCAGCUUGACUGCGAGCGUGACGGCGCGAGCAGGUGCGAAAGCAGGUCAUAGUGAUCCGGUGGUUCUGAAUGGAAGGGCCAUCGCUCAACGGAUAAAAGGUACUCCGGGGAUAACAGGCUGAUACCGCCCAAGAGUUCAUAUCGACGGCGGUGUUUGGCACCUCGAUGUCGGCUCAUCACAUCCUGGGGCUGAAGUAGGUCCCAAGGGUAUGGCUGUUCGCCAUUUAAAGUGGUACGCGAGCUGGGUUUAGAACGUCGUGAGACAGUUCGGUCCCUAUCUGCCGUGGGCGCUGGAGAAUUGAGGGGGGCUGCUCCUAGUACGAGAGGACCGGAGUGGACGCAUCACUGGUGUUCGGGUUGUCAUGCCAAUGGCACUGCCCGGUAGCUAAAUGCGGAAGAGAUAAGUGCUGAAAGCAUCUAAGCACGAAACUUGCCCCGAGAUGAGUUCUCCCUGACUCCUUGAGAGUCCUGAAGGAACGUUGAAGACGACGACGUUGAUAGGCCGGGUGUGUAAGCGCAGCGAUGCGUUGAGCUAACCGGUACUAAUGAACCGUGAGGCUUAACCUU